rnacentral:rRNA from 1 species
AGAGUUUGAUCCUGGCUCAGAACGAACGCUGGCGGCAGGCUUAACACAUGCAAGUCGAACGCAUCCUUCGGGGUGAGUGGCAGACGGGUGAGUAACGCGUGGGAACGUGCCCUUCAGUUCGGAAUAACCCAGGGAAACUUGGGCUAAUACCGGAUACGUGCGAGAGCAGAAAGAUUUAUCGCUGAAGGAUCGGCCCGCGUCUGAUUAGCUAGUUGGUGAGGUAAUGGCUCACCAAGGCGACGAUCAGUAGCUGGUCUGAGAGGAUGAUCAGCCACAUUGGGACUGAGACACGGCCCAAACUCCUACGGGAGGCAGCAGUGGGGAAUAUUGGACAAUGGGCGCAAGCCUGGUCCAGCCAUGCCGCGUGAGUGAUGAAGGCCUUAGGGUUGUAAAGCUCUUUCGUCCGGGACGAUAAUGACGGUACCGGAAGAAGAAGCCCCGGCUAACUUCGUGCCAGCAGCCGCGGUAAUACGAAGGGGGCUAGCGUUGUUCGGAAUCACUGGGCGUAAAGGGCGCGUAGGCGGCUUGAUAAGUCGGGGGUGAAAGCCUGUGGCUCAACCACAGAAUUGCCUUCGAUACUGUCUGGCUUGAGACCGGAAGAGGUAAGUGGAACUGCGAGUGUAGAGGUGAAAUUCGUAGAUAUUCGCAAGAACACCAGUGGCGAAGGCGGCUUACUGGUCCGGUUCUGACGCUGAGGCGCGAAAGCGUGGGGAGCAAACAGGAUUAGAUACCCUAGUAGUCC